AUUGAACACUGGCGGCAUGCCUUACACAUGCAAGUCGAACGGCAGCACGGGGCAACCUGGUGGCGAGUGGCGAACGGGUGAGUAAUGCAUCGGAACGUACCUUUCAGUGGGGGAUAACGUAGCGAAAGUUACGCUAAUACCGCAUAUUCUGUGAGCAGGAAAGCAGGGGAUCGCAAGACCUUGCGCUGAUUGAGCGGCCGAUGUCAGAUUAGCUAGUUGGUGAGGUAAAGGCUCACCAAGGCGACGAUCUGUAGCGGGUCUGAGAGGAUGAUCCGCCACACUGGAACUGAGAAACGGUACAGACGCCUACGGGAGGCAGCAGGGGGGAAUUUUGGACAAUGGGGGCAACCCUGAUCCAGCCAUGCCGCGUGAGUGAAGAAGGCCUUCGGGUUGUAAAGCUCUUUCGGCCGGGAAGAAAUCGCACGGGCUAAUACCCUGUGUGGAUGACGGUACCGUAAGAAUAAGCACCGGCUAACUACGUGCCAGCAGCCGCCGUAAGAC
rnacentral:rRNA from 1 species